GAGUUUGAUCCUGGCUCAGAACGAACGCUGGCGGCAUGCCUAACACAUGCAAGUCGAACGCCCUGGGCAACUGGGGAGUGGCGGACGGGUGAGUAACGCGUGGGGACCUGCCUCGAAGUUCGGAAUAACCGCGGGAAACUGCGGCUAAUACCGGAUGUGGCCUGAGGGCCAAAGGGGGAAACUCGCUUCGAGAGGGGCCCGCGUCCGAUUAGCUAGUUGGCGGGGUAACGGCCCACCAAGGCGACGAUCGGUAGCUGGUCUGAGAGGAUGAUCAGCCACACUGGGACUGAGACACGGCCCAGACUCCUACGGGAGGCAGCAGUAGGGAAUCUUCCGCAAUGGACGAAAGUCUGACGGAGCAACGCCGCGUGAGUGAUGAAGGCUUUC
rnacentral:rRNA from 1 species